ensembl:lncRNA
UACGCGACACCGUGAAAUGAGUUUUGCCGCAAACGUUCAGGAAAAUCCUUUUUGUUUGUUGGAUACAUUUAACUUCCCGUCGCUAACUUUACGAUUUUUUGUUUUACUUAAUUGUCCAAAUAUUUGUUUAAAUAUCCACGAUAGAACCAGAAUUAAGCACAAAUGUGCUGUCCUCGCAAUAUGCAGCUUACAGUGUCCAUCGUUACCUUCUGUCAAGAUGAUUUCUCCCAGUUCUCAUCCUCUUCAAUCCAGGAUUCUAUACAAACAUGUUUGUUUAUAUAAGAUCAUUACUCAAUAUUAUUCACUAAAAUCCGAAUGAAUUUGCAAUAUGUUUAUAGUCCCUUUGCUAUAGUCCCUUUGCUUAUCCGAAUGAAUUUGCAAUAUGUUUAUAGUCCCUUUGCUAUAGUCCCUUUGCUUAAUUCAGUAGCAACCGGCAGUAGAGUGGAUCAGAUACACAGACCACAAAAGACGUUUUGUGAUUGAAUGAUUGACAGCGUUUUUAAACUGACCUGGACAAACUCUUUUCUAAGUCUUAAAGCAACUUAUAAAAUCUGUAAAGUCAGGUGGUAUCCUUCCUACCUUUAAAAGAUCACUUAGAAUUACAUUUAUUAUUUUUCUGUUCGUAUCUAUGUUCUUUACACAGUGGUUUCCUAGCGGUUAAGGAAGAGGGUUAAAUUCCUAGGGUUAAAUGCAGAGGAAAAAUUUCACUGUGUGCACCGUGUGCUGUGCUGCUGUGUAUCACAUGUGACAAUCACUUUACAUAGGACAGAACUCAAUACAUUCCAGCACUUUCAAGUGAAGUGAAUGUCAUUGUGAUCCACUGCAACACAGCUCAGGUGCACACAACAAAAUGUGUCCUCUGCUUUUAACCAUCACCCUUAGUAAGCAGAAGGCAGCCAUGACAAGAGCCCGGGGGCAGUGUGUGGGGAUGGUGCUUUGCUCAGUGGCAACCUUCUGAUUACGAGGGCUGCUUCCUUAACCAUUAGGCACCACUGACCCAAUCCCUUCUAGACUCAAUCCCCCCAGAAUGUUGCAAAAAUUUUCACUUUACUCAUUUGCACACCUUCAAACUUACUUUUUACACAUAUUUUAUGUCUAAAAACAUAAAAUUGCGAUAUUUGGUUAUGUUUGCAAUAUUUGCAUAUUAGUUUCACUUGAAUACUUACAAUAUUGAGGUCUAUAGCAGUCACACAGUACUGUGUAUGACUAUGUACGUGAC